UACAGAGGGUGCAAGCGUUGUUCGGAAUUAUUGGGCGUAAAGGGCGCGUAGGCGGCGUGACAAGUCACUUGUGAAAUCUCCGGGCUUAACUCGGAACGGUCAAGUGAUACUGUCGUGCUAGAGUACAGAAGGGGCAACUGGAAUUCUCGGUGUAGCGGUGAAAUGCGUAGAUAUCGAGAGGAACACCUGCGGCGAAGGCGGGUUGCUGGGCUGAUACUGACGCUGAGGCGCGAAAGCUAGGGGAGCGAACGGG
rnacentral:rRNA from 1 species